GCUCAGAUUGAACGCUGGCGGCAGGCUUAACACAUGCAAGUCGAGCGGAAACGAUGAUAGCUUGCUAUCAGGCGUCGAGCGGCGGACGGGUGAGUAAUACUUAGGAAUCUACCUAGUAGUGGGGGAUAGCACGGGGAAACUCGUAUUAAUACCGCAUACGACCUACGGGAGAAAGGGGGCAGUUUACUGCUCUCGCUAUUAGAUGAGCCUAAGUCGGAUUAGCUAGAUGGUGGGGUAAAGGCCUACCAUGGCGACGAUCUGUAGCUGGUCUGAGAGGAUGAUCAGCCACACCGGGACUGAGACACGGCCCGGACUCCUACGGGAGGCAGCAGUGGGGAAUAUUGGACAAUGGGGGAAACCCUGAUCCAGCCAUGCCGCGUGUGUGAAGAAGGCCUUUUGGUUGUAAAGCACUUUAAGCAGUGAAGAAGACUCCGUGGUUAAUACCCACGGACGAUGACAUUAGCUGCAGAAUAAGCACCGGCUAACUCUGUGCCAGCAGCCGCGGUAAUACAGAGGGUGCAAGCGUUAAUCGGAAUUACUGGGCGUAAAGGGAGCGUAGGUGGCUCGAUAAGUCAGAUGUGAAAUCCCCGGGCUCAACCUGGGAACUGCAUCUGAUACUGUUGAGCUAGAGUAUGUGAGAGGAAGGUAGAAUUCCAGGUGUAGCGGUGAAAUGCGUAGAGAUCUGGAGGAAUACCGAUGGCGAAGGCAGCCUUCUGGCAUAAUACUGACACUGAGGCUCGAAAGCGUGGGUAGCAAACAGGAUUAGAUACCCUGGUAGUCCACGCCGUAAACGAUGUCUACUAGUCGUUGGGUCCCUUGAGGACUUAGUGACGCAGCUAACGCAAUAAGUAGACCGCCUGGGGAGUACGGCCGCAAGGUUAAAACUCAAAUGAAUUGACGGGGGCCCGCACAAGCGGUGGAGCAUGUGGUUUAAUUCGAUGCAACGCGAAGAACCUUACCUGGUCUUGACAUAUCUAGAAUCCUGCAGAGAUGCGGGAGUGCCUUCGGGAAUUAGAAUACAGGUGCUGCAUGGCUGUCGUCAGCUCGUGUCGUGAGAUGUUGGGUUAAGUCCCGCAACGAGCGCAACCCUUGUCCUUAGUUACCAGCGGGUUAAGCCGGGAACUCUAAGGAUACUGCCAGUGACAAACUGGAGGAAGGCGGGGACGACGUCAAGUCAUCAUGGCCCUUACGACCAGGGCUACACACGUGCUACAAUGGUAGGUACAGAGGGCAGCUACACAGCGAUGUGAUGCGAAUCUCAAAAAGCCUAUCGUAGUCCAGAUUGGAGUCUGCAACUCGACUCCAUGAAGUAGGAAUCGCUAGUAAUCGCGGAUCAGAAUGCCGCGGUGAAUACGUUCCCGGGCCUUGUACACACCGCCCGUCACACCAUGGGAGUUGAUUGCACCAGAAGUGGAUAGCUUAACCUUCGGGGAGGCGUUCACCACGGUGUGGUUGAUGACUGGGGUGAAGUCGUAACAAGGUAGCCGUAGGGGAACCUG
rnacentral:rRNA from 1 species